CAGUAGCCACGGGAAUACGUAGGUGGCAAGCGUUGCCCGGAAUUAUUGGGCGUAAAGGGCUCGCAGGCGGUUUCUUAAGUCUGAUGUGAAAGCCCCCGGCUCAACCGGGGAGGGUCAUUGGAAACUGGGAAACUUGAGUGCAGAAGAGGAGAGUGGAAUUCCACGUGUAGCGGUGAAAUGCGUAGAGAUGUGGAGGAACACCAGUGGCGAAGGCGACUCUCUGGUCUGUAACUGACGCUGAGGAGCGAAAGCGUGGGGAGCGAACAGGAUUAGAUACCCCUGUAGUCCCUGUCUCUUAUAC
rnacentral:rRNA from 1 species